GAGCUGGAAAUAGUGCGGGUGUGGGGUACAGGGCCAGUUCAUUCUGUGCCCUGCUGGCAAUUCUGACAAGCCCGUUGUUCUCACCAGCUCCUGGGAAAUAACCCCUGUGCUUCCUAACUGACUAACGAGUGCUGUCACAUCAUCUAUCACUCCACACCGUCGCUGGGUUCCAGGUGUGGUCCAAUGGCAUAACCAGUCUGUCCUCAGCACUAGGGAAUGCACCCCUGACCCAAUGCAAAGCUGGUCUGGCAUAGGAUCAGAGUCAGCAUUCACAGGAGCUUGGAGACUAGGGGGAGGAGCGGCGGAAGAAAGGUCCCGGGCCUCCCACUCUUAGAACUUGCCUUCACUGCAAGUCUCCAGUCCAUUUUGUGAAAUGCCAAGGAGUUCAGCGCAACUGCCCUCUCUCCAUCUCCCCGCCAAUAGAUGUUGGCUGACUCCCCAGCUCGGCAAAGCCUACGGGAAGUAAAGGCAUGGAAUGUGUGUGGAAAGGCUGCUGCUGGGAUGCACAUAGCAUUCGUAACGAGCUAGACAAAACUUCAAGCCGGCAAUAGACGUCAAUCAUGCAGAAUUCGUGGAACCAUACAGUUUGCUUUCAGGAUGGUGCACGUGGCAUUCAACGUUCCCAAGGAGGUGUGUUUUAACAUGACUCCAGCCCCUACCAAUGCCACUAAAUCCAACCUGCCCACUGAAGUGAUCGAGCAAACCAUUUAAUGGCACCAAAUGGCACUGCUGGUUCAGGAUGGAAGCUCGGCACCAGGUUAUUGGGUCAAACACAAUGGACACCAGACCCUGGCUUUACCAACGAUCCACUCAUUCUAGGAAUCAAGAAAGCAACAAAACCAAUCCCUACAUUACUAAAAGCUUUUGGCUAAUAAGUUGUAACAUCAUAUCCAUAUUAACACAUCCUACUCAUGGAUAUCAAUGGGCUAAUAAACAGCAAUGAGACUAGGAGUAUUAUUUCAAACAUCUGCCCUCUUGGUCUUGCCUGUUCACAAGCUGGUGAUAAAACAGAAUUAUGACUUGGGCAGGAUGUCAGUAAGAUGGGAAAGGGAAGGCUGUUGCUGUACAAUAAUGGGUAUUCCAUGAAGAUCUGUACUGGGAAACAUUGGUGGGUCUAAUGAAAAAUAGAUAUACUGCCAAAGAACAGUACUCCGGUGGCUAGCAGAUGUGCUCAGUGGGGUAUCUCUCUGAUGUGUGGCAACAGUGUCUGUCAUUACAAGGAGGCUUGCUCUUUAUUCCAUGUUUUUAAACAAUGAGCAGAACAUGAGACAGAAACUGAAUAAAUUUCGCAUUUCACCUAAUACAAUUAGAAUAUCAUUUAUUGACAGUUGGCAGUUAAACAACAUUUUGGUAUGUUCCAGGGGACAAUUGUAAUUGCAAGACAGCGAACUGCUACCUUAACAGUAGCAAAGCAAUCUGGAGAUCUGGGAACAAGCAUAUAGAAAUCACUAAAAGUAGCCAGCAGUGCAAGUAAACUACUAGGGUUCACACCUAGAGAAAUAGAAUACAAAAGCAGGAAGGUACUGUUGAACAUAGAUGGAACCUUGAUCUCCGCACUACAAAGAAAAGUUUGCAGGAUUGGAGGGAGUAACGGAAAGAUUUAUAAGGAUGCAACUAACAGGGGAAAUAGAAAAGACCAAGGCUGAAGAGACUCAAGAACCCUGGAAGAGGUUUUUAAAAUGAUGAAGGAGCUCAAGAGGGCAGGUGCUGAGCAACUGUUUCCACACUUGGGUGUGUCCAGAACAAUGGGUCAAAGGAUAAGAUGGUCACUAUCACUGGUGACUACUAGUAAAUGGACUACCAAAUCUAGAAUUCUGGAGGAUUUGAUUUUAGACGGAAUGUUGAAGCGUUGAUGCACUUAAGAAGAGACUUGACCCAUACAAGAGUGCUUAGGGAGUAGAGGUCACAGAACCAUACAGCACAGAAACAGGCCUGUGUCCAUGUAUAAAGGAGCA